GCUACUUGAAGAAGAUGAAAGAAGUCAAUAUUCGGUGAGAUCGGUUAAAAUUGGUCCUUCUUAAAAGUCUUUGCUCCAUUCUCAUUAUACGACAACGAGCAAAGAGGGGCAGCUGUAGUAGGCCCAAUUUAGCCCGGGCCCAAGACCAAAUACAAAUAAUAAAUAAAACCAAAAAAUAAAUAAAAAGUCUAAAUACCAAGCCCAAACUUAUAAACCCCAAUACCAAACCCAAUAACCAAAAAAAAAACCUAACAACCCACUAGCCCACUAUCUUAACAUUUCAGCAAAAAAUAAGCCCUAGCCCAUAACCCUCUUCAGCCGCCGCUCUUAGCUGCCACCACGCACGCCACCACCGCCGCACGCCAACCUCCACGCACCUAGUACCUUCAAACAAGAAAAAAAAAGCACAACAGACACAGAGGCAAAAAGAAACAGUAGCAAAAACAAACAAAAUAUUGUAACGAAAUGUAUUUUCG
rnacentral:lncRNA from 1 species